UACAGAGGGUGCAAGCGUUGUCCGGAUUUAUUGGGCGUAAAGAGCUCGUAGGCGGUUUGGCAAGUCGGGUGUGAAAACUCCGGCUCAACUCGGAGACGCCACUCGAUACUGCCAUGACUCGAGUCCGGUAGGGGAGUGGCGGAAUUCCUGGUGUAGCGGUGAAAUGCGUAGAUAUCUGGAGGAACACCGGUGGCGAAGGCGG
rnacentral:rRNA from 1 species